GGGGGCGUAGCGCAGAGGCAGUCGCGCCGGUCUCCAAAACUGGGACACGCUGGUUCGAAUCCAGCCACCCCGG
rnacentral:tRNA from 1 species